UGGAACUGGCCAGGAGAGGAGGCAACAUCAUCCUGGCCUGCCGAGACAUGGAGAAGUGUGAGGCGGCGGCAAAGGACAUCCGCGGGGAGACCCUCAAUCACCACGUCAACGCCCGGCACCUGGACUUGGCUUCCCUCCAGUCCAUCCGAGAGUUUGCAGCAAAGAUCAUUGAAGGAGUAAACUGAGUCACAGAGAAGCGAUGUGACUUGGCCAGGAUCAUGCAGCUGGUCGGGGUGGAGCCAGGGUUUGAACCCGUCUCUCCUGCUCCAGAGCUCGUAUUCAUGACGGGUGUGCCGCAACCCCUCCUUCUCACACAGAGAACGAGACGGUGUCUCUGUGUGUUACACACUGGACACCUAAUUCAUAAUCCCUGCCGAAAACCACUUUGGGAGCAUUAUGAAUUCCAUUGUGUCCUCCACCCCCAAGGAUAGGUUGGGAUCCUGAACCCCCGUCGCUCAGCAUGUGACCUCAUUUAGAGAGGAGGAGCGAGUGGACAUUCUAAUCAACAACGCGGGUGUGAUGCGGUGUCCCCACUGGAUCACCGAGGACGGCUUCGAGAUGCAGUUUGGCGUUAACCACCUGGGU
rnacentral:sRNA from 1 species